rnacentral:sRNA from 1 species
GCAAGCCAGGACAGGAGGACAAGGAAACCUGGGCCCCCUGGAGCUUGGGAAGCAGGCAGAAUGGAAGAUGGGAAAGAAGCCGUCUCCAGGCUCGUCCCAAUGGAGGUAAAUUGAUAUCCAGGAUUCAGAUGAGGUCAGCCCUGCUGGGCGAGAGGCUCAGGACUCCACAGAGGAGAAGGAGGGCAAAAGUGGCCUAUAGCAGAGCAGGAGUGGGCUGGAAGGGAGAGAGCUCGGUUCUAAUCCUAGAGAGAUGUUGACAACCAUCUCAGAACCACAAGAAGAAAGAGAACAAGGCCUAGACCCAAAGAAAGGGAACGGGUCGGGAGUGUUGAACUAUGACCUUUUUCAUGCAUGGGAGUCAGAAGAUUCCCUUUUCUUCCUGACUCCAACUCAAGAAGGAUUGUAUGAUCUCUGUGAUCAAGCACUCCAACUGAAACCAGCAGGGCUGCCACUUGCCAGGGCUCUCUCUAUAGGACAGAAGAAUCUUGAAACAAGAUGUAACUUAGAGUGCCGUGCACAUGCUUCCAACCUUCCAGAUCCUUCCCUCUCUCCUCUAUCCUUGCAACCUAGUCCCUGCUCCAAGUCAUUAGCAAUAUUGACUUUCCAGAAAGCAAGCAAUGAGUCUCUCCAGAUAUUCUCUCUCUCUCUCUCUCUCUCUCUCUCUCUCUCUCUCUCUCUCUCUGUCUCUCUCCCCCACCAAGUCUAUAUUGCAUUCCCUACCAAAAUAGUUUUUUUUUAAAUGCCCUAAGAAGCCUUGGCCCAGUUUUGUGUGAGGUCGCACUGAAACCACUUCAGGAAGGGCACCACCACCACAGACUUCCUGGAGAGUACACUGAACCCACCUCAGACCAGCAAAGUCAAGAAAAUGAGCCACUAACUGUUCCCAAGGUCGGAGCCUGAGAAAAGCACAGGAGAGCCAAUUGCUGAAGAAAUAAUAUUUACAGAGAAGAAGCCUUUUUUUUUCUUCCACAGGAAACUCACUCAGGCCCUUCACUUCCUGUUCUCAGCCUUGUAUAUGCACCACUCCAGCUAUACUGCCAAUCCCUGGGCAAACAAGCAUGCCCCCACCUGAAUGCCUAUGUUGUUUAUCGCUGCGUAAAAAAUAGCCCCGACAACAAGCUACACAAAACAAUAGAAUCCACUGGAAAUUAAUGUAAAGUGUCUGUCGACAGCAUAACAGGUGGUGCCAAGUGUGGGACAGCAAACAGGUGAGUGGUGGAACGGACCUGGAAGAGUUUCUGGGGAAACUUGUAUAAAGACUGUGGAUGGCCAGCCAGCUGAGAGCCAGGCUGCUUUCCCUGCGUCAGUGGUCCAAGAGGCACCACCAGACACUCAGCAUCCCUCGUACUCAGGACCCAUCCAAGCAUCUCACUCAGCCAGCAUUCAUGCUAAGAUACAUCAACCAGACAGCGGAAUCUCAGAGGCUUAGGGAGAUGAGCCAUACAGCUGAGGUGGUAGGACUAGAUGCAAGUCUGGCCUUAAAUGCAUCAUUUCCUACACCAAGAGUCCCAAGCCACACCCCGUGGGGGAAGGGAUGUGCUCCUGGUACCUCUAGUAUACCUGUUCCAUAGGCCAAGAAGCUGUCCAUCAAGUAGCUGGCAGUUAAGUUCCUCUACUCCAGGUUUAAGGAUCAGAGAGACCCGCUCUGCUUCUGCAGUUGGUUGGAACUGGGUCUUCAUGGGAUAAAAUUUAUGGCCCUGUCUUAAAAUUGUUGUUUUAAAGAGAUGUUUCCUCUGUUGUGGUAAAAGAUUCCCAUAGCUCAAGUGAUUUAAAAGAAACACAGGUUUAUUAUCUUAUAGGUUAGAGGUCCAAGGCCCCAAGUGGGUCCCACUGGGUCCAAAUCAAGACAUCAGCAGGACUAUGACCCUUAAGUCUCUAAGGAAGAAUCCAUGCCUUUGCCUUCUAUAGCCCAGAGGUCUACCAGUACUCCUUGGCUCACGGUUUCCUGUGUUGAAACUUUCAUCAUUGUGACUGGAAUUUUGUGAGAGGAAUGGCUUAAAUAAGAAAGAUUUAUCUCAGCUCAUUCAGGGGUUUCUGUCUGGGCUCAACUGGCCCUGUAACUUUGGGCACAAGGUAAAGCUAACUAUCAUGGCUUCAGGAACAGGUGACUGGAAGGAAGGCUGCUCACUUCCUGGUAGCCAAGAAGCUGAGAAGAGUGACAGGAAGGGGCGGGGAUAAGAUACAUCCUUCAAAAGUGUGUCCACAUCCCACCCCCAUAACCAGCUCACUUCCAGCCGGUUCUCUUACUAACAUGUCCGUCAGGUCCAUCACUCUCCCAGUGAUGACCUCAGAUUUUGAAUCCAUCAGUGGAGUGACCCAUUCAUGAAGUCUGUACUCCAUGAUCCAGCCACUGCCCCAGUGCUCCAGCUAUGAGCACAGCUUGCAUGGGAGAUCCAAGGUAUGGACACAGGGGGCCUUGGAGAGAUACUUGGUGUCUGCCAAAACAGGUCUCUCCUAUCUUCCAAGCCAGCCAUGUCCAGCCUAGACUUGAUGCUAAGACUUCUGCCCUGUCUCCCUCUCACACCUUUUAAUGGCUUUUUGUGAUAGGGGAUCCUCCAAAAUUUUAGGAGAUCCUUGCUAAUUCAGGCCUAUUGUUUAACAGUCUGAAUGCCCCUCCCCCUUACAUGCAUCUAACGUAUGGCUAGAGACUGACAUUUAUCACAAUGUAUCCUGCCUGUCUCACUCACAACCCCCUGAUCACGAUCAUCCCCCAUGUGCUUGUGGUGAGAAGCAGAGAAUCACCCAGCCACAGGUAAAAGAAACUUUGACCACCACAAGCUUGGUCCUGUCUGUGCUUCUGUUCUCAGGUUCCCCACUCAGGCUCAGCUCUCGGUUCCUGGUCUCCCAGGUUCUUUGAUUUCUCCCUCUGGGUGCUUGACUGGGUGAAAAUUUUCAUACCUUUUGGCAGACUAGGCAGGGUGUCCAGGGCUUUCCUGGGUACCCCAUCCUUUCCCCAGCACUGAAGUCGAGUCCCAGAAUGGAAAUCUCAUUAGUGCUGAUAAGCCCACAUUGAUACAUGGAUCAAUUCUCCAUGGUUUGCAGUAAGUUCUUCCCCUUGUACGUUCUGUGAAUCUGGACAAGUGUAAAACGACUUACUUUCACAAUGGUAGGGAAGGUGAGUGUGAAGGAGAAACAGAAAGGUUGAACAUGGGGAUCUUAGGGUACAUGCUGCUAUCCCCAGCUUUACCUGAAUACUGAGGAUUGGGGCCUCAUGCUUGUAUAGCAAGCACUUUAACCGCUGAGACCUCUCCCUGUUUUGUUGUGUUAUGUUGUGUUGUGUUGUUUGGUUUGGUAUUGUUUAGUUUUGUGACAGGAUAUCACUCCAUACCCUUACUGGUCUGGGACUCACUAUGUAGACCGGGCUGGAUUUAAAUUCACAGAGAUCCUCCUGCUUCUGCCUCCUACGUGCCCUCUGACAAUUUUUAGUUUAUAAAUAAUACCAGCCCAUGAUCUUAAAAUGUAUUAAAACAGGGGUUGGGGGAGAAGCCAACGACAUGAACAAUUUCUGGGUUUGCCAAAUACGUUUGCAAUUUACCCUGUGUCUGUCUGUCUGUCUUUCUGUCUGUCUGCCUGUGUACGCUCUUGUGCAUGCAUGUACAUAGGAACCACUCUGCUCCCUCCUCUGCACCAGACGCUCUCCAUACUUGUUGCACUCCGUGCUCACCGUGAUCCUAGGAUUUAGACCAGGUACAGCCGUCUCUCCUUAACAGACGAGGAAACCGAAGUUUGGAGAGACAGAGCUACUAGCCCAGGCUUGCAAGGCUGGAAAGGAGCAAGCCCGGAAUCGAACGGCCAAGCUUUUCUCAGCACUCUGCUUGCAAAGGGUAGCUGGGGAAAAUGUCUCUGUGUUCUCGAACACAAAUUGCCAGGAUGCCUGGGGUGAAGGAAACAAAGUCAUCCUUAGCAAGCAAAUGGAGCUCCUACUACAUACCAGGCAGGAGACCCCUGGGCAUCUCAGGCCCAUCCUGAGCAAGCCAUACAAGGGGUCCCCCUUCAUCCUUGGAAGGGUGCAGAAGAGACAGUGGGGGAGGAGGAAGAACCGGUACCCACUCUUCAGCGAGUUGCAAGUUCUGGCUCCAUUUCUUUUAUUCUCCUUUCAAGCUCUAGAGACAGCGCCUGGAGCAGAGCUAUCUGGGCCACAGGAUGGAAAUAAACAUGAUUUGAAUAAUCCCAGGCUGACAGCCCCGGAGGACAGACAGGAAAAUUACCCCCUUGGAAAAGGCACAUCCGAGCCUGUCACAAGAGGCAUUGGGGGUACAUCAGUGACUCAGGGUGCCCUGGAGUGCUCUCCCUCACCCAGGCCCUGGGUACAGAGCUGGAGAGAUGCAGACAGCAAGUGAAAAUGACAGAAGACGAGCCACAGGCCAAACGUAACAGUGGUUUCACCAUAGCCGAUGAAGAAGGCAGGAUUUGAACUCAGCUUUCUCCAUCCCCUCCCCCAACCCUAUUUCUCCUUAGGAAAGCCAGUGGGGUUGGGCCGCCCAUUUCAGAGGGAGUACGCAGGUUCACUUGGCAACUCUGUAGUAAACAGAGACUCCCACGUCGGAUAACAGGAUGGCACAGCAGAGCCAGUCACACUCUGGCCAACAAUUUGCUUAGCUGGCAUCAAACCCCAGGACACUUUCCAACCCCUAAAGCACAGCCUGAAGAGGGCAGCCUCCUGACCAGUUGUUUAGAACGGAGUCUCACCCCUGCCACUCUCCAGCGAAGCCUUAUCUGAGGGUGUACCCUCUGCCAGGUCUCAGGCUGAGUGCAUUAGCAUUUCCUUGUAACACCGUGAGUGAAAAGGCCCCAUUAUUUCCUCCGUUUUAAAGGUGAGAAAACUGAACCUCAAAGAAAGCAGGAGGAAAAAACCCUAAGGACACAGCCAGUAAAAAGGAAGAACAUAAACUUCUUCUGAAGCCUCGCUGUCACCAGUAUUCAUACCAGGUGCUUGUCCCCGUUAGAUCACACCGCUGCUCGCUGCUCGACGAACCGCCUUGAAGGAUGCCCAGUACCAACCUCCAGGUUCGCCCCUUCCUGCGCCUGCCCCAGGGAAAGGGCAUUAAUCGCUGAGCUCCCACUUCCUCAUCUGAAAAUAUGUAAGAGCGACCCCUGCCUCCUGGGCCACCACGAGGGCAGAUGGAAGCCUAAAGGGGGCAGUCGCAGUAGCCAGAGACCCCAACGCCUGCCAGUCCAGCCAACAAGCCUCCACCCCUCCAUUGUAUCUCCCUCCCCCACCCCCACAGUGGGCUCAGGGUUACGCUGGCUGAGUGGCCCAGGCGCGGGCUCUGCCCCUCUUGCUGAGCCAUGCAGUUUAUGCCAAGCAUCCCCUCUUUAUGUAGGUUUCCCGUGACCCUCCGCCAGCAGCUCUUUGCUGGGCGGCUGCCACCAUUCGCCCAGCGCGAGAAAACUGCCUUUCUUCCCCCAUUUAGGGUCUGGUUUUAAUUUCUACAGUAUUCUCUUUAAUAACAAUGCCUAAUUAAAACAUCUGUUAAAAAGUCUGUAACAUUAACUUUACAGGGAGAAUUUAAUAGAAUUAUAUUGGAAUUGCAGGCAUUUAACGGGCUUCCUAAUUAGGCUUUUCUUUAAAAAAAAAUGGAAAGAAGAAAGAAAGAUUCCACAAAUUAAAACGCAGCCUCUUUUUUUUUUUUUAUGAUAACAUAGGCUGAUGGUCCAGUAGCUGGGCAUGAUAGACAGAAAUUGGGAGACAGCUACGGGAGCAGAGGGCAGCCUAAAGGGCUAAGAAAAACUCUCCAAGACAGAGAAAAACACAGGGAGGGAACCUGUGUGGAAUGGCAGGUGUCAUGCUGGGAGCCUGUCAUUUGUAUCCCCAACUGUAUCCUAACACCCACCACAGAAACCAGCCCUACUUGGCUGAAGAGGAAACUGAGGCAGAGAGGGAUAUCAUUUAGUCAACAUCAUGACUACACAGAAGCCAGACCAAGUGGCUUCAAGGCGUAUGUUCUUUGUAUUUCUCCUCACAGCCUUCAAGCUGUGCCUCGGAAGACUGUCCUAGAAUCCUCGGCCUCACUCCAGAUACUGAGUCCAUCUGUCUGGAAGACAGUAUCAUGACCACCCAUGUCUCAGGCUCUGCUCCAGGUUCCUCAUUGGGAAGUCUCUGUCGGAGAUGUACUUCUUCUAUCCGAGAUGCCUUGGCCCCUGGCUGUCACUUUUCAGGAUCAAGCUGGGACAUGGUGAGGUAUACAAGUCAAGAAAGAAACGUCCAGAGAUAGACACGAAGGCUGGUCUCUGGGACCACCAUUUCAAUAUCUCCCAGGUACUCACGGGAAGUUCCGGUGCUCGGGCUCUAGACAGCCCUCACAGAAGACUCUCUGGGUGGGUCUGUAUACUCGGUUUUCAUAAGAUUGCCCAGUGGCCCUGAUGCCUUUAAACGCUGAGAACCUUAUCCAAAGACACAGCAGAGCCAGUUUAUCCUUUGGCUGAACUUAACCCUCCCAAGGGAGAUACCAAACUUCAGCAUUAAAGGGGAAGCCACACUCUUGACCCAGCUCCUGAGAAAAUGUCACAGGGUGAACAUCAAGGAAAGCUCCAGAGGAGGUCUUGCUGUCUUCAAGAAAUAGAAAAAACAAAACAAAAAAAAAAAAAAAAAACAAAAAAAAACAAGGCUUACCUGACUCCAUGCCCUCUCAGCUGAAUUCGAACCUCUAAGGGGGUCCUUGGAUGUGGAGGUAGGAACUGGAGACCCAUCUAGGCUACUCAGGAAGAAGCUGAGAUCCUCUGGGAAGGGUCUAGGAUUCAAGAGAGAGAGGGACUGCUUGUUCUCAGCCUUGAUGAGCAGAUCCAGCAAGCCCAUCUGAUUCACAAAUUCUUCGCCACCCACCAGAAGACAUUCACCCAAUGCCACCAAGCAGAGGAAAAUCUAAGAAUGGUUCAAACCCAAUCCAGACCCUCAUGGAGUACUGAGUCUAGGUAAAAGACAGAGACAGGCAUUUCCCACGCUAAGUCUAUGAGACCAUCAUAUAUAGCUCAGGUUCAUCCUGAUGGUGAGGAAAUGACUUCUGUUCACAAGGAUAAAGGAUGGUGGAGUGCAUAGGGUAGAACAGAAGUGUAGUUAAAGACCGAGAUAGGUUG